GCGGAAGGAUCAUUACAGAAAGUAAACGCGGAUCAAACCGCGAACUUCUAAACCUUUGACGAUUGACUCAUGUUGCCUCGGCGGGUUCUCCCGCCAGAGGAUACAUCAAAACUCCUGUUUUAACGGUGUUGUCUGAGCUACAAGCAACGAAUCAAAACUUUCAACAACGGAUCUCUUGGUUCUGGCAUCGAUGAAGAACGCAGCGAAAUGCGAUAAGUAGUGUGAAUUGCAGAAUUCAGUGAAUCAUCGAAUCUUUGAACGCACAUUGCGCCCCUUGGUAUCCCGAGGGGCAUGCCUGUUCGAGCGUCAUUUCACCACUCAAGCCUGGCUUGGUGUUGGGCGACGUCCCCUUUGGGGACGCGCCUCGAAACGCUCGGCGGCGUGGCACCGGCUUUAAGCGUAGCAGAAUCUUUCGCUUUGAAAGUCGGGGCCCCGUCUGCCGGAAGACCUACUCGCAAGGUUGACCUCGGAUCAGGCAGGGAUACCCGCUGAACUUAAGCAUAUCAAUAA
rnacentral:sRNA from 1 species